rnacentral:rRNA from 1 species
UUUGGUGGCGACCGGCGCACGGGUGCGUAACAGGUGUGCAAUCUGUCCAUAAUCGGGGAAUAGCCCAGCGAAAGUUGGAUUAAUGCUCCAUGUGAGCGAGGGAGGCAUCUCCUUUGUUUGAAACGUAAGGAUUAUGGGUGAGCACGCUUCUGAUUAGGUAGUUGGUGAGGUAACGGCUCACCAAGCCGACGAUCAGUAGGGGUUCUGAGAGGAAGGUCCCCCACAUUGGAACUGAGACACGGUCCAAACUCCUACGGGAGGCAGCAGUGAGGAAUAUUGGUCAAUGGACGGAAGUCUGAACCAGCCAAGUCGCGUGAAGGAUGAAGGUCCUAUGGAUUGUAAACUUCUUUUGUCUGAGGGUAAAAAAGCGGACGUGUCCGUUCUUGCAAGUAUCAGACGAAUAAGCAUCGGCUAACUCCGUGCCAGCAGCCGCGGUAAUACGGAGGAUGCGAGCGUUAUCCGGAUUUAUUGGGUUUAAAGGGUGCGUAGGCGGGUUGCUAAGUCAGUGGUAAAAGCGUGUGGCUCAACCAUACCAAGCCAUUGAAACUGGCGAUCUUGAGUGCAAACGAGGUAGGCGGAAUGUGACGUGUAGCGGUGAAAUGCUUAGAUAUGUCACAGAACCCCGAUUGCGAAGGCAGCUUACCAGCAUGCAACUGACGCUGAGGCACGAAAGCGUGGGGUAUCAAACAGGAUUAGAUAC